rnacentral:rRNA from 1 species
AUGGACCACAUGAUAAGGGUGGAGAUGGAAGAAUUGACAACGAAGACAUUGGAGAUGAAGCUUCUUAUCACCGAGAAGAAGAAAGAGGUCAAGCUUGCACAAGUUGAAGCAAAACGUGAAGAAGCAAAGCGCAAGGCCGAGUUGGAGGAGAGGAUGAUCAAGCUCAAAGAGGCAAAGGUAUGGAAAGAACUCAUGGUGGAAGAGAAAGAGCACAUGAUGAUGUCCAAGAAGGACAUGGAUCAAGACCAAUUGCAAUGGUGGAAGGACUACAAGGAGGACAUCGCGGAGAGGAAGAGGAUGUUUCGUGUUGCGUCCUCUACUUUUCGAGGUGACACUCCGAUGAGUAGUUGUGGUGAUGGCGGUGUGUACGACUCCAUCGGUGGUGAUGGACAUGCUUGA